rnacentral:rRNA from 1 species
GACGAACGCUGGCGGCGUGCUUAACACAUGCAAGUCGAACGGAAAGGCCUGCUUUCCCUUGUGGAUUGCGGGUACUCGAGUGGCGAACGGGUGAGUAACACGUGAGUGAUCUGCCCCCAACUUGGGUAUAAGCCUGGGAAACUGGGUCUAAUUCCCGAUAGGACUGCAGGGUGGUGCCUGUGGUGGAAAACGAUUUUCUAGUGGUUGGGGAUGAGCUCGCGGCCUAUCAGCUUGUUGGUGGGGUAAUGGCCUACCAAGGCGGCGACGGGUAGCCGGCCUGAGGGGGUGGACGGCCACAUUGGGACUGAGAUACGGCCCAGACUCCUACGGGAGGCAGCAGUGGGGAAUAUUGCACAGUGGGCGGAAGCCUGAUGCAGCGACGCCGCGUGGGGGAUGACGGCCUUCGGGUGGUAAACUCCUUUCGACCGCGAGGAAGCCACCUGGUUGGAAGGGUGGUGACGGUAGUGGUAGAAGAAGCACCGGCUAACUACGUG